rnacentral:rRNA from 1 species
CGUUCCUACGGGACGCAGCAGUGAGGAAUAUUGGUCAAUGGGAGAGAUCCUGAACCAGCCAAGCCGCGUGAGGGAAGACGGCCCUAUGGGUUGUAAACCUCUUUUGUCGGAGAACAAAACCCGGGACGUGUCCCGGACUGCGUGUAUCCGAAGAAAAAGCAUCGGCUAACUCCGUGCCAGCAGCCGCGGUAAUACGUAGGUGACAAGCGUUGUCCGGAUUUACUGGGUGUAAAGGGCGCGUAGGCGGGAUAGCAAGUCAGUCGUGAAAUGCCGAGGCUUAACCUCGGAGCUGCGAUUGAAACUGU